UACGGGGGGGGCAAGCGUUGUUCGGAAUUACUGGGCGUAAAGAGCUCGUAGGUGGUUUGUCGCGUUGUUCGUGAAAUCCCACGGCUUAACUGUGGGCGUGCGGGCGAUACGGGCAGACUGGAGUACUGCAGGGGAGACUGGAAUUCCUGGUGUAGCGGUGGAAUGCGCAGAUAUCAGGAGGAACACCGGUGGCGAAGGCGGGUCUCUGGGCAGUAACUGACGCUGAGGAGCGAAAGCGUGGGGAGCGAACAGG
rnacentral:rRNA from 1 species